rnacentral:rRNA from 1 species
AUGGGCGACGGAGCACAGAAUGGACAUGGAGGCAGGGCGCCUCUGGCCUUGCGGUCACGGUGGAGCUCGGUCAACGGCAACGAAGGCAGGGGCGCGCGGCUGGAGGCGCUGGGGACAACAGCACACGGCGGUAGCAGACAAGCGGGGCGAGGCGGAGAUGCUCGGGGCAGUGGAGAGGCGGCAGCGGAGCUGGCGAUGGGGAGGUCCCGCGGCGCGGAUGGGGCGCCAUGGGAGGCGGCUUCCGGCGCGGGGGCGCUCGAGGCAGGGCAGGAACCUGCGGGGGCGACACAGAUGGGCCUUGCUGCGGAGGUCCACGGGCGGAGGCGAGCGCUGGUGGUGGAAGCGGAGGAAGGGAUCGAGGCCUCGGGCGAGAGGAUCGUGAAGAGAAGUGUGGCGCUGAGGAACGAGGAGGAGGGGUGCGGGGGGUCGGGCUAG